rnacentral:rRNA from 1 species
CCUACGGGAGGCAGCAGUGAGGAAUAUUGGACAAUGGAGGAAACUCUGAUCCAGCCAUGCCGCGUGAGUGAAGAAGGCCUUCGGGUUGUAAAGCUCUUUUACCCCUGACGAUAAUGACGGUACCAGCAGAAGAAGCCCCGGCUAACUCCGUGCCAGCAGCCGCGGUAAUACGGAGGGGGCUAGCGUUGUUCGGAAUUACUGGGCGUAAAGCGCACGUAGGCGGACUGGAAAGUCAGGGGUGAAAUCCCUGGGCUCAACCUAGGAACUGCAUUUGUGACUGCAUGGCUUGAGUGCGGCAGAGGGGGAUGGAAUUCCGCGUGUAGCAGUGAAAUGCGUAGAUAUGCGGAGGAACACCGAUGGCGAAGGCAGUCCCCUGGGCCUGUACUGACGCUCAUGCACGAAAGCGUGGGGAGCAAACAGGAUUAGAUACCCUGGUAGUCCACGCCCUAAACGAUGUCAACUGGUUGUUGGGUGGGUUUCUACUCAGUAACGAAGCUAACGCGUGAAGUUGACCGCCUGGGGAGUACGGCCGCAAGGUUGAAACUCAAAUGAAUUGACGG